rnacentral:tRNA from 1 species
GGCACCAUGGCCUAAUGGUAAGGCGUUGCUUUCCGGUGAAGGAUUUGGCAAAGAUUGAGGGUUCGAGUCCCUCUGGUGUCG